rnacentral:lncRNA from 1 species
CACAAACCUGGGAAACUCGUAAACUAAAAUCUACCUGUAUCAACUUAAAUAGUCCAUAUUUUAAGUAUAUAGAAGUAAAGAAUAUAGAAGUGUAAUGUAAUGGAAUAUAGAAGUAAGGAAGAUGGAAAAUCAGCAGAAAAUGCUAAAAUCAUAAUAAAACUAAACUUAAAUUUUUAAAGUUGAUAUUUAACACAUUGUUGUAUGGCUAGGGAUGAAGCAGAGUCAAAUUUAGGUCAUUGCAGCAAACCAGUGCUUUACAGUGUUUUUUUGAUCUGUUUUGUUAUUUUACAUAAACUAGUCUGGUUAUUUUUCAUUGAAAAUAAGUUUGUUUUUUUUUGUUUUUUUCUUCUUAAAAAUCAAGAACAUUUAUUUCAUAUAAUUGGAACAGAAAUUAAUUUUCUACUAUAAU